rnacentral:lncRNA from 1 species
CGGAACCCGGGAAUCUUCUGGAAGGCUGGCGGUGGAGCCUAGCUGUUAGCUCCCUCCGGGUCCGAGGUCUGAGCCGCGCAGGCGCGGCCUCCCUGCUUCGAAAUGGCAGCAGGAGCUCAGCAGUGGAGGACGAAGAGAGGGCCCUGCUCUGGCCGGCAGCGGAGCACAGCGGCCGCCAGCGAGGGAGGACGCCAGGUCAGUGAUGGCACAUUCAGUGUUCUAGAUGGGACAACAGUGCAGAGGAAAUCAGGUUUGUCUGCCAUGAUUUAGUGCUCUGGAAGACACAGCACCUGCCCUCCCCUGGCCAUCUACCCACAGAACCAGGGAGAAGGCUGGACACCUGUCACUCACACCAAUUUGAGAUUCAUCACCACCUCCCUGGAGACCACCUCCCUGACCUGAGGCUGUCUGACCUCCUCUAGCCUUGCAAAUCCUCAGGAGGAAGGAUGAUACCACAAGCAAGCCCUUGGUUACAAGAGUGCUCAGAAGCCAGGAAUUUUUCAUUAACUAUAAUUGAAAUGAAAAAUGAUUCUGAUGUUUACUACCAGGGUAAUCUUAGAUCUCUGAGCCUUUACUUUGGCCUGUGUAACUUGGGGAUAGUAACACCCAUAUCCAAAUGGUUUUGUUGAGGACAAAGAAUUAACACAGAUAUUAAGAAUUCAUUAUAUCUGCCACCUGCUAGGUGCCUAACAAAUAGCAGUGGUAAGAAUUGUGACUGUG